UGAAGAUAGGUGACUCAAUGACAUCUGUGC
rnacentral:piRNA from 1 species